AUUGAACGCUGGCGGCAGGCCUAACACAUGCAAGUCGAAUGGUAACAGGAAACCUCUUGCUGUUUCGCUGACGAGUGGCGGCCGGGUGAGUAAUGUCUGGGAAACUGCCUGAUGGAGGGGGAUAACUACUGGAACCGGUAGCUAAUACCGCAUAACGUCGCAAGACCAAAGAGGGGGACCUUCGGGCCUCUUGCCAUCAGAUGUGCCCAGAUGGGAUUAGCUAGUAGGUGGGGUAACGGCUCACCCAGGCGACGACCCCUAGCUGGUCUGAGAGGAUGACCAGCCACACUGGAACUGAGACACGGUCCAGACUCCUACGGGAGGCAGCAGUGGGGAAUAUUGCACAAUGGGCGCAAGCCUGAUGCAGCCAUGCCGCGUGUAUGAAGAAGGCCUUCGGGUUGUAAAGUACUUUCAGCGGGGAGGAAGGGAGUAAAGUUAAUACCUUUGCUCAUUGACGUUACCCGCAGAAGAAGCACCGGCUAACUCCGUG
rnacentral:rRNA from 1 species